UUUCGUGGUUCCAUUGCCUGCUGAGGGGCAGUGUUGUAACCUUGGAGCCCAUAAAACAAUGAUCUAUGUUCAGUAUUCACCGCCAAAGAUCGAAGAAGCUUAACUAGAUCGAAGAUGAAGAAGAUAAGUGUUCUAGUUCUAGUGUUGGUUCUAUGCGUGAUGACCUCUAAUGUGAAGCAGAGCCUUGCUCAGGUUGACUGCUACGAUGCUUGUUCCACUGGCUGUGUUUCAUAUAUAAACAACCCGAGGCUUAUGUCACGAUGUGAUCGCAAAUGCCAGAUUAAAUGUGGUCCAGAUUCUCAAGUUGAGGAGAAUUUUCAUUGAGAGGCAAAGAUAACUGCGAGCAAACCAUGAAUCAAGUUGCAAAGGAGAAUAGGGUUAAACUUACAAGCAAACGCUAAUAACGUGCAACUGUAUGUUUCUUUUGGUUCUGUUCUCAAUGAAAUAAGUACCAAAUUUCUUUCAGUCCUUAUGUGGGACCUAAUAAAAUUUCGGUUUCCUUGUGAGAUCAUUAUAUUAAC